AUUGAACGCUGGCGGCAGGCCUAACACAUGCAAGUCGAACGGUAACAGGAAGAAGCUUGCUUCUUUGCUGACGAGUGGCGGACGGGUGAGUCAUGUCUGGGAAACUGCCUGAUGGAGGGGGAUAACUACUGGAAACGGUAGCUAAUACCGCAUAACGUCGCAAGACCAAAGAGGGGGACCUUCGGGCCUCUUGCCAUCGGCUGUGCCCAGAUGGGAUUAGCUAGUAGGUGGGGUAACGGCUCACCUAGGCGACGAUCCCUAGCUGGUCUGAGAGGAUGACCAGCCACACUGGAACUGAGACACGGUCCAGACUCCUACGGGAGGCAGCAGUGGGGAAUAUUGCACAAUGGGCGCAAGCCUGAUGCAGCCAUGCCGCGUGUAUGAAGAAGGCCUUCGGGUUGUAAAGUACUUUCAGCGGGGAGGAAGGGAGUAAAGUUAAUACCUUGGCUCAUUGACGUUACCCGCAGAAGAAGCACCGGCUAACUCCGUG
rnacentral:rRNA from 1 species